UACGUAGGGUGCAAGCGUUGUCCGGAAUCAUUGGGCGUAAAGCGCGCGUAGGCGGCCCUGUAAGUCCGUUGUGAAAGUCAAAGGCUCAACCUUUGAAAGCCGAUGGAUACUGCAGGGCUAGAGUCCGGAAGAGGCGAGUGGAAUUCCCGGUGUAGCGGUGAAAUGCGCAGAUAUCGGGAGGAACACCAAUGGCGAAGGCAGCUCGCUGGGACGGUACUGACGCUGAGACGCGAAAGCGUGGGGAGCAAACAGG
rnacentral:rRNA from 1 species